rnacentral:rRNA from 1 species
UACGUAGGUGGCAAGCGUUGUCCGGAAUUAUUGGGCGUAAAGCGCGCGCAGGCGGCCUUCUAAGUCUGAUGUGAAAGCCCACGGCUCAACCGUGGAAGGUCAUUGGAAACUGAAAGGCUUGAGUACAGAAGAGGAAAGCGGAAUUCCACGUGUAGCGGUGAAAUGCGUAGAGAUGUGGAGGAACGCCGAUGGCGAAGGCAGCCCCCUGGGCCAACACUGACGCUCAGGCACGAAAGCGUGGGGAGCAAACAGG